rnacentral:rRNA from 1 species
UACGUAGGGUGCAAGCGUUGUCCGGAAUUAUUGGGCGUAAAGAGCUCGUAGGCGGUUUGUUGCGUCGGCUGUGAAAUCCCGAGGCUCAACCUCGGGUCUGCAGUCGAUACGAGCAAACUAGAGUGUUGCAGGGGAGACUGGAAUUCCUGGUGUAGCGGUGAAAUGCGCAGAUAUCAGGAGGAACACCGAUGGCGAAGGCAGGUCUCUGGGCAUUAACUGA